UACGUAGGGUGCGAGCGUUGUCCGGAAUUAUUGGGCGUAAAGAGCUUGUAGGUGGUUUGUCGCGUCUGCUGUGAAAACCCGAGGCUCAACCUCGGGCCUGCAGUGGGUACGGGCAGACUAGAGUGCGGUAGGGGAGAUUGGAAUUCCUGGUGUAGCGGUGGAAUGCGCAGAUAUCAGGAGGAACACCGGUGGCGAAGGCAGGUCUCUGGGCCACUACUGACGCUGAGAAGCGAAAGCAUGGGGAGCGAACAGG
rnacentral:rRNA from 1 species